rnacentral:rRNA from 1 species
AGCGAACGUUAGCGGCGGGCUUAACACAUGCAAGUCGAGCGAGAAAGGGGCUUCGGCCCUGAGUACAGCGGCGGACGGGUGAAUAACACGUAGGUAACCUUCCUUUCAGCGGGGGACAACGGUCCGAAAGGACCGCUAAUACCGCAUACGUUCCCUGGGACCUCGGUCCUGGGGAGGAAAGGCCCGCAAGGGCCACUGGAUGAGGGGCCUGCGUAGCAUCAGCUAGUUGGUGGGGUAAUGGCCUACCAAGGCGAAGACGCUUAGCUGGUCUGAGAGGAUGAUCAGCCACACUGGGACUGAGACACGGCCCAGACUCCUACGGGAGGCAGCAGUGGGGAAUAUUGGACAAUGGGCGCAAGCCUGAUCCAGCCACGCCGCGUGAGUGAUGAAGG